UACGUAGGGGGCAAGCGUUAUCCGGAUUUACUGGGUGUAAAGGGAGCGUAGACGGCAGCGCAAGCCUGGAGUGAAAGGAUGGGGCCCAACCCCAUGACUGCUCUGGGAACUGUGCGGCUAGAGUGCCGGAGGGGUAAGCGGAAUUCCUAGUGUAGCGGUGAAAUGCGUAGAUAUUAGGAGGAACACCAGUGGCGAAGGCGGCUUACUGGACGGUAACUGACGUUGAGGCUCGAAAGCGUGGGGAGCAAACAGG
rnacentral:rRNA from 1 species